CGGGUGGACUAGUAAGUGAUCCCUCUGCUCGUACGUCCUCCUCACACUGUUCGCUGCGCGGUCGCCUUGGAAAGGUGUUUGACUGUGUACCAGACGCUUCCGGGUAGUAUAUUGUAGAUCUACCGAAGGUCUUGGCUGAAAGACGCCGUGCGAACGCUGUGCGAACGCUCUC